ACUACGACGACCACUAGUGUUACGUAUCUGUGGGUUUCUGGUAACUUCCGCCGUCGUCUCACGUUCUCUCUCACACAUACAUAUAAAACCACCGCCUUCACAAGGCUUUAGUACAUAAAUACACUCACACAGACGUAGUAAAUAUAUAUAUAUAUAUAUAGUUAUAACAUACUGACAAGAUUAUACCUUUGAAGGAAUAUUAAGUUUUUUCUUCUUACGAACUUCAGUCAAAACUUCAAUUUAACCAAAGUAAGUAAUUUCCUCCCUUCUUUCAAAACUACCCCACUGAGCUAUAUAUUUAUAUACACACACAAUACUAUAUUAUAAAUAUGAAAUAAUCGUUUGUAUAUCUAUCUGUAUAGUAGAUACGUGGCUCGUAUUUUUAAAUACAUAUGUAUAUACACACACGCAUACAUUGCUAUAUUGCAUGUAAGAUAGCCGUCUGUACGCAUGAAAUAUGGAUUUAUAUACACGUGUAUAUAUACUUCCUUAUAAUGAAUAAAUAAAUAAUUAUAUAUAUGUACAUACACACAUUGUGUUCGUAAUUUCAGAUGUGUGAAUACCGUCGACCGGCUUUCUCCUCUUGCCGCCGUUUUCUGUCUUCAACCUUGUUGUUAAUGUCUACCGCUUCCCUCUAUCAUAAUAGUAAAUAAAGGCUAUCCUUAUUUCUUUGUUUUUAUUGUCUCUUGAACACGGACAUUGUUCAAUCCUCUACAAAUAACCAAAUCUAUCUCAUAGCACGCAUCCUGACAUUUUUAAAAAUUGGUUAAAGGACGAUGAAAUCCGAAGACGUGAUGGCCAUGGCAGGAAUGCCUAUUGUCAUAAUCCUACUUGACCAGGGAACAGCUGUACGUGGAUGUUCGACCUGUUUGAAAAAAGAACCAAAUCCUCCUCAAAUUUAUAUUAAUUAUCUAAAAGGGAACAAAAUGAAAUAGUGAAUGACAUUGGAUGAAAUAAAAUGGAUAGUCAAAGCUGAAACGUAUGUGACUUUGGUUCUGUUUGAUCAGGUUUGAUUUAGGGGCUCAUAACAAAACAAGACAUUGUUAUUUCAAGUAUUCUGAAAUACAACAUCUCUGAAGAAAAAUCGUAUCUUCGUUAGUGAGUGGGGUCACCUCGAGGCAGGACCCUAUCAUUAAAUGUAACACUGCGCGCGCUUAAAACAGGCCGUACAUUGUGUUACACUCGCACACGUGUGUACACACACACACUAUAUAUAUAUAUAUAUAUAGUGGAAAUCGCUUAUAACCAGGGACAGUACUAUCAGGUUUAGUAGGUCCCAAACAUGUCCAGGAUGUUAUCUCUUCUAAUGUUAUCAACCGGUUAUUGUUACCUAUAAGGUUCCAUUCCUAAUUGAUAAGCUCUCACUAUGUGUGUGUGUGUGUGUAUCUAUAUAUAUAUAUAUAUAUAUAUAUAUAUAUAUAUACACACACACACACAUACACACAAUUUAUUAGAAUCAGCCAAAUCACAUCCCACUGUGCCAAAAAAGAAAAAAAAAAAGGGAUGGGAUGUAGAUAAAGCAGACAAGGUAUAUGCAAAAAGAUACUGCAGUAAAGUUUGUGAUUACAGGUUUAUACGAUAACAGUUGCCCUAGGGUUAAACGGCGAUUGCAACUGUUAAGAGAUAGCAGUCAAAUUGCCAUGUGGUAUGUGUGUGUAUAUAUAUAUCGUCUGUAAAAACAAAUCCGAAAGAAGCAUAUAUUAAAAAUGUAGAAGGCCGGUUUAUGUUAUUACCUUUGGUUUCUCGUCCAUAAAGGGUUUAGUUUAUGGCGUAUCGUUAGAUCACAAGCCCUUCUAAAAAUACACGCAAAUAUUUGCUACACAUGUGUGUGCAUAAUAACGAUAGAUGUUAUAUGUAAAACAAAAAGCCCUAAUUGAAUAAAGGGCUCAGUAUAUGAAGUGAAAGAUUUAAUGUUACUGUUUUCAAGUGAUAGAAACUGAAGUUUGACGCUAAAAGCUUUUCAGAUUGGUAAAAAAUUAGACUUUUUUUUAUACACACACACAAUUAUGAUCGAAACUGAAUGUUCAUCUCACGACUCUAGUUUCCUUCUAUUUCGAUAUUGUAUGGUGAAGUUGGUAUAUUGGUCGAAAUGGAAUUAUCGAUUAAAAAAUAAUGAACUAAUAUAGGGUUGGCUGGAAUGUUGAGAACAUGGCAUAUGGGAUUAGAUAUGCUCUGUGGUCAGUAUGGUGGUUCCUGUGAGGAGAGGGGCAUGGUUAAUGUAUGUGUGUGUGCGUGUGUAUAUAUAUAUAUAUAUAUAAGUAGAGGUGCAGAGGCCCAGUUGUUAGGGCAGCGGACUCGCAGUAGUAGGAUCGCGGUUUCGAUUCCCAGACCCAUCGUUGUGUUUAUUGAGCGAAAACACCUAAAGCUCCACGAGGCUCCGGCAGGGAGUGGUGGCGAACCCUGCUGUAUUCUUUCAUCACAACUUUCUCUUACUCUUUCUUUCUGUUUCUGUUGUACCUGUAUUUCAAAGGGUUUGUGUCACACUGAAUCUCCUCGAUUCUGGAGUGCUCAGCCACUUGCAUGUUAAUUUCACAAGCAGACUGUUCCGUUGAUCGGAUCAACUGGAACCCUCGUCGUUGUAACCGACAGAGUGCUACGAUAUAUAUUGUAAUUCUUUAUGAAGGUAUAAAACUGCCUUCUAAAUUUGAAAAUGGUUUUCUUUUAUAACAAAUAGUUACGGAUCUGUAACGAAAGAUGGCCGUUCCUGAAUUCAUUUCAUAACAGUGUAACUUCAUGUUACUGUUAUGAAAGUGGUGAGAAAGAAUCUUCAGAAUUUAGGCCUCACUGAAGAGAUGACAAGCGACAGACUUCUGGAGAUUUGCUGUGCUUGAGAAGAUAUAUCAAGCUAAUCGUGGUCAUCUAUACAUUCAAGCACAUUAGAUGGGAUGUAUUUGUCCUGCAGGCUCAUAGGUGCUAGUGUCACAUAAAAAGCAUCUGUGCCAGUGCCGUGUAUAAAGCACCCAUGCUAGUGCCGUGUAUAAGGUACUCAUUCUAGUGUCAUAUGUAAAGCACUUUGUGUCAGUACCACAUAUAAAGCACCCAGCACACUUUGUAAAGUGGUUGGUGUUAGCAAGGGCAUCCAGCCAUAGAAAUCAUGCCAAAAUAGACAAUUGGAGCCUGGCCAGCUCCAGUCAAACUGUCCAAUCCAUGUUUGCAUGCAUUAUAGUACCUGGGGGAUGACUCCCUCAUUAUGCUGCGUGUCAAAGCAGUCGAAAGUCAUAGAUGGGUGAGACAACUUGUCUCUGAACCUAUUCAGGAGUGUUGAACACCAGUAUUUCACCAUUUUUGUGGCUUAUCAACAUAAUAGCAGCUGAAUCUAACUAGGAACAAAUCGAAUCACCUGGUUAUGAUUAUUUUUAGUGUAAAAUCUAUUCGCUGUUUGAUUUAGGUACAUGUUGAUAAGCCACAAAAAUAGCGAAAUAUCGCUAUCCAUCACUCCUGAAUGGGAUCAGAGGUGAGUUGUCUUGCCUAUCUCUUCAUGUGUUUUCAUCACUCAAGUGCUAUACUGCUGUGAAUAAACAAAACGUACAUGUUGAGUAUGUGCAGUUGAUAAUGAUUUCAACUCUAGCACUGCUUUUAGUUCAUUAUUGAAUACACACACACCUUUCCCCCAAUUUCCUCCUCAAGUUUUUCUCACCAUCCAUUGUCUCUCUGACCCUUCCAUUACCUUCAUAAUUUUGGUAUUUAGCUGGUGUGAUUAAAUGGGAGUAGAACUGCAAGUCUCAUCAUUUUCUGUGAUACCUGUUAUCUUUCUCUCUUCCUAGAACCACUUCAUUUGUCCUAAAUUCGUCCAGAACCGUCCUUAAUUCUUAAUAUUGCCCCUCUACACUCCUAUUUUACGCUAAUCACCCUCUGUUCUACCAAAUUAUCUGCCUUCAACUACCUUACAUCUUUCACUCUUUCCCGGCAUUACAUCUGUCCUUCCCCUUAUUCUCAUGCAUUCUGCUAACCCACAUCUUCUUAUUCUUCCCUUCCCUACUAUUAUUACUAUUUGGCUUGCUACCCAUCACCACCUUCUGUACUGUCAGUCAUCGCCUACUUCCACUUACACCCCCAUCUCAUGUAUCAUGAACCAUCCUUCUCCAUCUCUAUUUCCAACUUCUCGAUUCUAUCCAACCACUGCAGUCAUCACCUACUCUUCCCUCUAUCAUCAACCAUUCCUUAACGUCUGUUCUUCAUUCAUUCCCCAUCUCUAACCAUCACUACUUCAUACACUCUGAUCUCUAUUCAACUUGUACCUUCAAGUUCCACCCUGAUACUUCACCUACUUCACCACUAUUUUGUCUCUGUGUGUAUAUAUAUAUAUAUAUACACAUGGUCAUUUCAUCAUGUUGAACUGUUAAUCCCUACACAUUUUUUCUCUCCAUUUUUUUUUUGUUCUUUCUAUUUUUUCCCUCUCAACCCUUUCUGUUAAAUAGCGUAGGCUGGAAAUGUCAAUGACCUUCUUGAUGUUCUCCCACAUGUCUUCGUCUUUUGUUUUCUGUAAAUUUGAACUAUAUCCACACACACUAAACAGUAUCUAUACAUCAUAGUCAUAUAUACCCACAUUUCUUCAAGCAUUUAUGCUUGUGUCUUAUGUUGAUACUGUGUUAUUUCUACUUCAAACUCAUUCAGGUGAUAGCAAUUUUGUUUUUUAGUUGAUUUUAUGUAAAACAUGAACAUUUCUUGUUUUGCUAAACUAACUACAUAAUGUAACUAUUUUUUUGUCAUUUGUCUGUGUUUAAACUGUUGUUAAUGGUGUAGUCCUGUGUGUCCCAUAACUUAGUAAUUUGAUAAGUACUGGAAUUACGAUUGACAAACUACAGUGUUAAACACCAUCUGUGGAAGGUAUUUACUCUACAAGUUAGCCUCAGAUGAAGAGUGUCUAUGGGCUGGGACUUGAAACUCUAAUAACAAAAUACUAUAAAUUGGAACAAGCAUGUAUAUAUAUCUUAUUUUAUUGUUAGUAUUACUGUGUUCAUGCUGGCAAGAAUUGGAUAGAUUCUUAUUGUUCAAGUUCUUAUUAAGAGGCUGUAUAGUUAUGAAAUUCAUGUUGCAACUAUGUAGUUUUGUGUUUAAGUACAAGUGCUUUGCAUCUUGGGCAAGUAUUUUCUAUUAUAGUCUUGGGUUGACCAUUGCUCUGUGAAUGAAUUUAGUAGACAGAAACUGCAGAAUCUUGUCAUGUGUACAUGUGAAUGUUGAUUCUGAAUAUUGAGUGGAAGCAGUGACAUUUUGUGUCCCUUUGUAAGCAAAGCAUCUGUAUUUCAGUGACGUCAUUGUAAGGAACAGUGAGAUAAAAAGCAAGUUAGGAUUGGAGGCAAAAUGCAGCCCCACAUGACUUUCUGAAUGGCAUGCUAAUGAAAAAUUACCUUGAAUUUUUUUAGUAUUGUACCUGAGAUGAGCCAUGUUUCAUGCCUCAUAUUGAAAAAGGUUGCCUCUGCUUGGUCUAAUUCAUACCAGCAUCAUCGUCAUCAUUUUUUAAUGUCUGUUUUCCAUACUGGCAUGGGUUGGACGGUUUUAACAUGGAGCUGGCCAGCUGCAGAGCUGUCCAAACUCCAAAUGUGGCAUGGUUUCUACAGCUGGAUGCCCUUCCUAAAGCCAACCACUUUACAGUGUGCUGAAUAUUUUUUAUGUGCCACCAGUACAGGGGCAUUUACGCAGCACCAACAUGGGUGCAUUUUUUGUGGUACCAGCACCUGCAAAGGACAAGCCUGUAUGUAUGGAAGAUAGCAAUUUUACUUAGCUUGAUGUCUUUUCAAGUACAGCAAAUCACCACAACUUCCAGUCCCUUAUCAUUUCCUUGCUGAGGCCCAGUAUCUAAAGAUCCUUUCUCACCACUUUGUCCCACAAGUUCCCUCCACAGUAGAGCUUGGCACUUUUUGUAACUGUCCUCAUCCAUAUGCAUCAUAUGACCACACCAGGGCAGUUUUUUUCUCUUGCACACAACAUCUAAUGCCUCUUAUACCCAAUGUGUUCCUCUUAAAUCACUUACACUCUGUUGUGUACAUACACUGACAUUACCCAUUCAGCAGAGCAUGCUAGCUUCAUUUCUUUCAAGCCUUUACAAGUCCUCUAGUCAAAACCCAUGUUUCACUGCCAUGUAGCUCAGAAGUGCAUUGUUUCAGUCUCAUCAGUUACAAAUGUGUUUCAACAAUUGCUAAGGAAUUCAUUAUAUGACAAAUUGGUAUCCUGUCCACUGGGUGGAUAAUCUUAUACUCUUAUUGCUAAACAUCACAAAAACCAGUAUAAACUCCAGCUCACUCCCAAUAGACACUAUAGGCUUUAGAAAAACUUUAUAUAUAUAUAAAAUCAUCAUCUAUUUUCCAUGCUGGCAUUGGUUGGAUGAUUUGACAGGAUCCAGUGGGCCCAGGGACUGCAUCAUACUCUAGUCUCUGUUUUAGAGAGUUUCUAUGGUUGGAUGUUCUUCCUCGCAUCAAUCAUUUUACAGUGUUUACUGGGUGCUUUUUUUUCAUGCCACCAACACUAGUAAUGUUGCCAUGCAGCUUGCACGUGAGGUGGGGUUACUUUAAGCUAAGAGAAAAAGGUUGGAGUGAAGCAGUUUCAUGCUGAAGAGGAGUUUAAGACAGCCAGUCUUAAACUCCUCUGUGAUGGUCUGUAGGACUAUGAAGGACUGAACCUCGAUGGACUCCUACUAUCUGCUGAAUUCAUCAUUGAGAUCAUUGCUGAAUUCAUCAUUGAAAUCAUUGUUGAUUCUCACUGCAUCCUUGUACAUAACUUGCAGAGCCCUUGUAAGCCAUUCAUCUACACUGAGUAUCCUCUGUGAUCACUGAAUUUCUGAGUAUGGUAGUCUGUCAGAAGCUUUCUUCAAAUUAAUGAAAAUCAAGAAUGGCAGUUUAUUCUUAGCCAAGUAUUUCUCUUGUAGCGUACUAGAAAGAUUCAUCUCCUCUAGGUCUACUCUAUCAUGGACCAUUUAAGUUAUGACUCUUAGUGAACUUCAUAACCAGGUCUUGUAGUUUAUUCCUCUUCAGUUGCUUUUCUCUAAGCUGUCUCUUUUGCCUUUGUAGCAGUUUAUGAUGCUGCUGCUAUGCCAGUCAUUGGGUGACCAUAGCUGUGAGCAGUAAUCCAGACGGCUGAGGACGAAUGUCCUCCAAAGGACCAUCAUGGUUUCCUUAUCUCUGGUUCUGAAUGUUCUCAGGAUCCAUCCAGCCAGUUGUCUGCAUUUUGUCACCAUCCUGGUAAUGUGCACUUGGAAAGAGGUAUCAUCACUCAUGUUGAUACCCAGGUCCCUCACUAAUUUAGACUCUGGGAUUGAAAUUCCCUGUGGACCAGUGUACCCUGUAAGUUUCAUAUUCAGUUUUGGACACUGGUAGUGCAGGGCUUGGAAUUUUUCAGCAUUAAAUUGCAUUUUUAUUAUCCUUAGCCCAUCUGUAAAUUGAGUUCAACUCCUGCUGCAUUUUAACCAUUUCCUGAAGUUUAAAUGACUUCAAAUCCUGUUUCAAAUGGGUUAUCACCACAAUGCAACCAAAAGGAUUUCAUCGAGGCACACCAGGGUCAUUAUAUCCAACCAAUACUGUAGGAAAACUAUUGUUUACAGUGACAAAACUGCAUCAUAGGGAAUUUUUUUCAGAAGCAAGAAAUAGUUUAAAUUUAUAUGUGAGACAUUGGUCCUUCAACAAGAUUUAAAUAUAAUGUCCUAACAAUAUCUUUUAUCUUGUUACAGUUAUUUCUAUAAAUAUUCUAUAGAAAUUAUAGCCAACCCUGAUUUUUACUACAGCAUUUUAUAUACAAGGUGUUAAAUGUAAACAAACACUAGCAAAAAUCAGUACUAGCUAUAAUUUCUAUAGAAUAUCUAUAAAUAACCAUAACAAAAUAGUAAUGUGGUAUUGACUUAUAAAAAUAUUUCAUGUACUUUGUAGUAUUUUAUGGUUGCAUAACAAAAUACCAUGUACCUACAAAUCAUUAAUAUUUUUCAGAUUCGGAAUGAUUUGCAUCCUUUAACCGUUUCGUUACCAAACCGCCCAAAGCCGCCUGAAAAAAAUUUUGGUUAAUGUGACCAAAGCCGCCCGUAUUUACCUAUUCAUAUUUAAAUGAGAAUAUCAGAGCAAAUCUCUUUAGUACAUUCGUGAAAACACGUGAUUAUACUUCGUAAACAGUUUAUCUACAGUUUUGUACAACGAUCGACGUGUAAUUUUAAUUCCCUGAGUUUGGGAGAUUUUUUUUGGCAUCGAUUUUUCUUCAACUUUGAAAAUGGAUAGGAGUUUCAUGUUAUCAAGCAUUGAUUCCGAAUUGGAAAAUUUGUGAAGCGAAUACUGGGUACUGUUGUGGAUUUAGUUUUUAUACAGGGAAACUAAUGUUAGUCAGUAUGGCUUAGGGUAUGAUGUGGUCUGGAAGUUAUUGUUUGAAGCGAUCAAUGCGGAAACAAACUUACGCAAAAUGUAAACAAACACAAAAUGGGGGUUCAAAUUUCGCAAAAUUUGUGAAGCAAAUACUGGGUACUGCGUGGAUUUAGUUUUUAUACAGGGAAAAUAAUGUUAGUCAGCAUGGCCUAGAGAACGAUGUGGUCUGGAAUUUAUCACUUCCAUACCAUAACCAGGGCCGCUUCAGCGAUCGUGGGCUCCUGUGAGUAGAGACCCUGGUAGUACUCCAUCCAUCUAUCCAUUUCUUUUUAGGUUGUCUCUUUUCUGUCAGCUGGAGCUAGCUGAGCCUGGGACUCGUGUCAAACGGGGUCGUCACUCCCUGAAGUAGUGAAGAAAAUCACUACCCACUACCUACGUAGGCGGUUUAGCAUUCGACAGUUAGGGUAUUCAAAUGUUAUUAACAGGAAUCCUAAGAUCUAAUUUUUGACAAAGAUCUGUGCUAAUAAUAGUAAUAUUAACAAUAAGGAUUUUACAUUUUGGCAUGAGCAGUAGUUUUAGGAGCAGGAGGUUUGUCAAUUACUUGGCUGGGACUUUAUUUUAAUCCUCCCUUCAUAGUUUAAAAGCAAAAUUGAUCUUUGCAGCAUUUGAACUCAAAAUGUUAAAGAACCAGAAGAAAUGCCACUAACCAUUUUGUCCUAAGUUAAUGAUUCUACCAGCUCACCACCUUAAUAAUUAUCUGUUCUACUACAGGCAUAAGGCCUGAAAUUUUGGUGGAAGAGUGCUAGACAACUAUAUUGACUCUUGUGCACAACUAGUGCUUAUUAAAUUGAUCCCAAAAGGAUGGAAAGCAAAGUAGACUUUGGAAUUUAAACUCCAAAACCUAAAAAUAGAUGAAAUGCUACUAAUCAUUUUGUUUGACAAGCUAAUGAUUCUGCUAGAUCCCUGCCUUAAUAAUAAUAAUCCUUUCUACUAUAGGCACAAGGCCUGAAAUUUGGGCGAGGGAGAUAUUCGAUUACAUCGACUCCAGUGUGUAAUUGGUACUUAUUUCAUCCGAAAGGAUGAAAGGCAAAGUUGACCUUGGCGGAAUUUGUAACAGAUUAAAUGCCGCUAAGCAUUUUGCCCAGCAUGCUAAUGAUUCUGCCAGCUUACUGCCUUCAAUAAUAAUAAUGAUAGUAACAAAAACAAUACUAGUAAUUUUCGUAAUACUUUCCCUUUAUUCAUUAUGAAUUUAAAGUUGAAAAUUUUGUAAACUGUGGGUUUUAUAAUAGAGAACACUAAUAUUUGGUUAGCAAUACGUUAGAAAUAUAUUAUUGUAAUAAGGAAGGAUUAGAUAUGUUCUAAACUGGACAGAUGUCUGUAUCUCUUACCAGAUGGUAUUAGUUCUGAUGUUUGUUGUUGACUGCAGAAGUAUGUGUAAUUAAAGCACCUUAUCUAGCUUUCUAAGUAUGGGAAAAUUUUGAAUUAAAUGAGACUCUAGUGUUAUUGAGAGCUUUAAAGCUAAAUUGUUUUAGGCUGAAUGCUUAACUCCUUCCGUUUAUCUCACCUGUCAAACUAGUGGGAUUAACGGACGUAUAUGUAUAUAUAUAUUUGUAUAUUCGCUGUGUUAAUACAAAGUUAUUCAUCAACUGUUCAUCCACUAGUAAACAUACAGUAUUUAUCUAUGAUUAGUGUCUGCAGGUCACCUUUAAGUGCAGUGUUAGUGGAGCUUUAGUUUAUUAAUAUUUCAACAGACCUACUUUUUUAAGCUUAGAAUAGUUUUCAGCUGUUCUUUUAUCUCUGAUUCAGAGAAAAUUUCAUUCUAAAUAACUAUUUUAAUAUAAUUUACUUAGUUUAUUAUGUUUAUAUAAUUAACUAUGAAAAACAGAUUUCUUACAUUAAUCACUAAAGGAGAUUCAGACACAUCAGUUUAUUUGAGAACUUGUCUUAAUGUUCUAAUAAUGACAUUGGGAAAAAUCUUUGCUGUAAGAAUAAUUUUCAUUGUGGUUAAAAUUUCAAUUGAUAAAAAAUUAUUUUCAGCUCACCAUGUCAAAUAGUUUGCAUUUAAUAUUCUAAUAUUAAUAUUUAUUUGGAUAAAUGUUACAUUCAGAGCAUCCUGAGGGACGACCUAGAUAGAUAGAUAGAUGUUACACUGAUUGUUGUUUGCUUUCUGGAUCACCUCCACACCAACCAAUGUUCAGUCUAUUCUGUUUGAUUCAAUUCAGUAUCAGUAUGUACAUCAUUUAAAUAAAAAAAUAAAAAAUUACAAAGACGUCUGUGAAAUUAAGGGUUUAAAAUUGCAUUAUCCAUUUCUUUUUAGGUUGUCUCUUUUCUGUCAGCUGGAGCUAGCUGAGCCUGGGACUCAUGUCAAACGGGGUCGUCACUCCCUGAAGUAGUGAAGAAAAUCACUACUUUCCUUUUUCCUCUUUAGACACUUGAGUCUAGGUGCAGGUGUGACUGUGGUACUGUGUGGUACCUUGGGCAUGUCUACUUUAGCCUUGGGCUGACCUAAGCCUUGUGAGUGUAUUUGGUAGAUAGAAACUCAAAGAAGCUGGUUGUGUGUGUUUGUCCCCCAGCACCACUUAACAACUGAUGUUGGUGUGUUUACAUCCCUGUAACUUAGCAAUUUGGCAAAAGAGACCAAUAGAAUAAGUACUGGAGUCAAUUCAUUUAACUAAAAUUCUUCAAGGUGGUUCCUCAGCAUGACCACAGUCUAAUAACUGAAACAAGUAAAAGAAAAGAUAAAAGAUAAAUUGAGUGUGAUUUGAUGGAAUUUAGACUUUUAUAUCUGGCAGUUUAAGUGACUACAUAGAGGUUCUGUUAUGACAUGGCCAAAGCACCAAACAAUUAUUUCUGUUGUUGGUGUUUCAUUGGGAACAUCCAGCUGAAAGAAACGAAUUUUUGUUACCAUGCAAUAAUAAUUAGCAUAUGAAGUGUUUGUGUGGUCAAUGUAAAUCCAGUGUUGUAUGGCUAAAUUAGGUAACUUUAUGAAGUCAUGUAAAAAAAGAAGUUUUACGCAGCCAGCGUAGGUAGUGUUGCAAUGCCAGUGCAAGUGGAGUGUUGCCAGGCCAUUGUAGUGUGGUUAGUGUGGAUUCCGCAUUAUGUUGUCAGAGUGAGGCCAGUAAAGGGGAAACUUUAAUGUUAUUGUAGGUGAGGUGCUGAUUUAUUGGUGUAGCUCCAGUGUAGUGUGGUCAUUAGUGCUGGGUAUCUAGUGUAGGUCCAUUAUAGUUUGGCUGGUAUUAACUGGUGCUAUUUCCUCUCUGUAUUUUUAGAAUUAUGGCACGUGGUCAGCAGAAAAUUCAGUCACAGCAAAAACAGAAACUAAAGAAAGAUAAAAUGAAGAAAUCCACUGGACAUGACCAGAAGAAGGCUGCAGCAGCAGCACUCAACUAUAAGUGCACUGUUUGUAUGGUAAUGUAUAGAUGUAUAUAUAUUUGCCAUUAAUGAUGACUAACCAGAAAUGCAUAGAGUUGUCUCCUUUAUUUACUCAGCCUGCUAAUCCUUCCUUUUCACAUUUAACAUGAGUUAUUUUGAAUGUUGGAAAUGUUAUCAGCCUCCCCUGCUCUCAAUAUCUAAGUGAAGCACUCAGUCCUAUAAUGAUUGAGCAGAAAGUACCUAAAAGUGGGUUUGCUUAUUCAAAUGUUUAUAGUGUCUUUAGGUUAUUUUGAAAAUUGGCAAUAUUACCAAAAAACUUGUUUGUUAAGUAGUCAUUUGUGCUAAAAAUGUUGUACAUCUGUGUUUAUUAAUUAAUUACAUAAUAACUAAAAACACAUACUCAAAAACGUUGAUGUAAAGAAAUAUAUUAGUAAUAACUUGAAUAUAAAUAAUUAAGCCAUGGACAUACAAACAUCACGAACAAAAAACAAGUUUUAUCCUGCCCCCUUUUUUUUUUUGCAGCUUUUUCAUUAUGAAAUUAAGACAGGUGUUUCAUUUUGUUCCACAUACAAAUUGGUUUGCUGGGCAAUUGUACUGAUCAAACUUGACCUGUCAAGUUUAAAAAAAAUAUAAUCAACAGGCUUCACAUCAAGUUCCAAAGGGAUCUUUGAAUCAACAACACUUAAAAAAAAGUUUAAUUUCAUUAUCGAAAAUGGUGUUUCACCCAUUCAAAUGGUAAUAUACUAUCCAAGUCACUUGAAAAGUUGAACUAGUUGAAGUCAGAUUGCUUGUGUGUACUGAAGAAACGGAUAUAUCACUGUGGCUGUCACCUCCAAAAGCCUUAUCUUCCAUUAAUUCAUUGUUGUUGUGCAAAGAAUGAUUAUCAGUCGUUUUCCAAAAUAAACUUCUAUCAAGAAUAAACAUAUAUAUAUAUACACACACACAUAUACAUGCUCACUUUUUAAAAAUAUGUACAUAAUUUCUUUUGUAUUAAUUUGUUCUGGAGGAAAGUACUGUAUCCCAUAAUCGUCAUAGACCAGUGGGAACGACAAUGUUUCACUUGAUUAAUUAGCAAGUUGUUGGCUGCAACAAAAACCUGGACAGGGUAAUUUUAAGAGGUGAAGAGAGAAAGGAUUGGGAAAAUGUUUAGUGUGAGUCUUGGGUGGUUGAACACAAUAUGGAUUGUGAGACGAGUGAAUGAGGAGGAAUACCUGAGUGGAGGUGGUACAAGACCAGCCAGCUGUGAGGAUCAGAGAUUAUUAGUUGUAGUGGUGGUAGAAAAAUGGCAUUGAGAAUUUUUUUUAACUUUUAAAAGAAUUUUUUUUUGUCUCCCAGUGCUAGCAAUCUAUUUGGUGGAUCUCUUUUGGUGUUUAAAUGUAAGAUUUAAGGAUUACUUUGCUGUAUUCUUAGUGUUUGUUUCUCAUGAAUUUCAGUCUUUGAUGCCUGAUGUAAAAACCUACAAACAGCACUUUGAAAACAAACAUCCGAAAGCAUCUUUGCCAGAAGAAUUGAAACUGGAAUGACAGGUAAAUACUCUGUUGUUGUUGAUGAUGAUGAUGAUACAACAAAACAAAUUUUUAUGAGUUACCACUAUCUACCAGCAGCUUUCUUUCAUUAAUGGUGUUUUUUGUUUUUGCUUAGUCAGUGGGGGCAGCGCAGUUCCCAUGGCCCUUUUCAUGGUCUCCAAGACGUGACCCCCUGAUGCUUACAACAGGGGCCAUGUGAUUUAGUCUGGUUAUUUGGCUUGAAUGCUCUUGAUUGGAUCAAAUUUGAGUGAUCCAGUUAGAUGAGUCUAUAAUAUUUGACAUUGUACGACAUUUGUCAGUAAAUGUUAUCAUAACAGUAUCAUUCAUUUGUAAUGCUCCGGAAAACCCUGUCUAGUCAUUGUGCUGUUCAUGUUCAGAGGACUAGAGGAUAUAUCAACUGACUUGGAAACAAAUUUAACCCUUUCGUUACUAAACCGCCCAAAGCCGCCAGAAAAAAAUUUUGGUUAAUGUGACCAAAGCUGCCCGUAUUUACCUAUUCAUAUUUAAAUGAGAAUAUCAGAGCAAAUCUCUUUAGUACAUUCGUGAAAACACGUGAUUGUACUUCGUAAACAGUUCAUCUACAGUUUUGUACAACGAUCGACGUGUAAUUUUAAUUCCCUGAAUUUUGGGAGAUUUUUUUUCCACAUUUUUUUCGGCAUCGAUUUUUCUUCAACUUUGAAAAUGGAUAGGAGUUUCAUGUUAUCAAGCAUUGAUUCCGAAUUUAAAGCUUUUUCAACGGAAAAUAGGGAGAUAUCGAGAAAAAGAAUGAAAUAGGUACAGAAGCACGAAAAUGAAAGCGAUUCCAAAGAAACAAAUCGGCGAUGGCGACAGCAAAAACGAUUUUACAUCGGAAUGAAGUAAAAAAAAUUUUUAAAUGUUUUUAUUAGCAAUUUUUCUGAGGAGAUAAAGUUUAUCUAUAGCCUUUCUUAGGAAGUGAAACCAUUAGACUUUUAUUUUUUUCAGUAUGCUAGUUUGAAGCGAUCACUUAGAAAACAAAUUUACACUGAUUGUAAACAAACACAAAAUGGGGGUUCAAAGUUUGGAAAAUUUGUGAAGCAAAUACUGGGUACUGUUGUGGAUUUAGUUUUUAUACAGGGAAACUAAUGUUAGCAUGGCCUAGGGAACGAUGUGGUCUGGAAUUUAUCACUUCCAUACCAUAACCAGGGCCGUAUAUUAUUUUUUGACCGAUUUCUUUAGUUUGGUCAAACUUGCGGUGGAUUCUAGUAUUUCACUUUAUUCCACCUUUAUGGUACACCUGUUGUGCAUUAAAUUCAACUGAUGAUAUAGUGAUGUGCACAAUUCUUCUUUGUCAAAAUUUUGUUGCAUACCCAUUUGAAUAUUAGCUGAUGAUUCAUUUUCUAUGGUGAUGUUUAAACAAAAUUUUAUUAUUUUUACCUAUUGCUCAAUUUACCUGGAUUUACCUGUAAUUAAAGUCACUUUGAGACAAAAGUUAUGCAAUAGAAUUGAUUAAGAACCCUUUCUUUAAUUAUGUUCCAAAUAUCACAUUAACAUGUUGAUAAGUAAAAAAGUUACAGUUAUUUAAUGAAACAAGCCUAGAUUCAUGAUUAUUUUAGAAUUUAAUUGAAACUCAUGAGGGGUGUAUUUUGGUCAGAAAUAUAGUAACGAAAGGGUUAAGUUGGUGAUAGGUGAAACUAUGUAUAAAUGUGUAUUGAUGUCUUUAUCUUUUACUUGUUUCAGUCUCUAGCUAUGUUGGGGUACUGCCUUGAAGAAUUAUUAAUUGAAUGAAUUGGCCCAAUAACUUUUUCUUUUAAACCUAGUACUUAUUCUAUCAAACUGCUAAGUUACGGGGACCAACACCAGCUGUCAAGCAAUGGUGGGGAGAAACACACAUGACAAGCUUCUUACAGUUUCUGUCAACCAAACCCACUCACAAGGCUUUGGCUGGCCUGCGGCUAUAAUAGAAGACACUUACCCAACUCCCUAACCAUGUGGUUCAGAAGCGAGCUUCUUACCACAUAGCCAUGCUGUGCCUACUUUUAUCUCCCCCCCCUCUUUUCUACAUUUUAACAUUGGCUUUUCCAUACUUGCAUGGAGCAUAUGAAAUUUUUAAAGUAGUUUUUCAGCUACACAAUAUUUUCUCAUGAUUGGACAUGUUUUUACAGAAACACACAGCUUGUAUGGUGGUGAUGCUUGGUUAUAUCUGUUGCAUGAUCUCAAGAAAAUGAGACAAACAUACAUUAUACAAAUGUGGAUGUGUGUAUAUGUAUGCAUAUGUAUGUAUAUGUAUGUAUAUAUAUAUAUUUGAAUUGAACCAAGAGAAAUAACUUUGUAGUGGCCAUGGGCAUGUAAUUUGAACACUUUUCAUGCCGAACCAUUCGAGACUACCCUGAUGUAUACUUUCUGUUUUAAAGUGAUCUAAAUCAUAAUCUUCUGUCAAAACUUCAUAUGUUACAAAGUGUUAAUACUAUACAAAAUUAUUCUUGUUUUAAGGAAAAUAUCUCUGCUUCCAGUGUAGGCGAAACAAUCACUUGGUGGCACUUGAGACCAACUCCAAAUAAGGAGAGAUGAUCUCGAGAAUUGAGACUUUUCCAAAACUGAUGCACCAUUAAGGAAAAGACAGUCUGUGUGUCUGGAGAUAAAGGACAGCUGUAGUUGCAUAUUUCUGCCUCACUUAGCAUCAUCAGCAUAGCAGUUUUCCUACUUUAUUUCCAGCAGAAUGAGACAGACAUGGCCCUAGGUAAUUUGAUAAAAUGAGAAUAACUCUAAAUGGCCACUACACUUGUACUCUUUUCUCUUUUUCUAUUUCCUGUAUCUUUCGUUCACUAUUCUCUUCUUUUGUGUAACUUUUUCCAUGAACCACUAAUGAGUUCUAUGUUUUAAUAAAACCAAUCUACAUUAUUUACAUUUGAUGGAUAUCUGUCCUCAUCUUGUUUGUUGUUAAUGUUUUGGCUAAUAUACCCUCCAGCCUUCAUCAGGUUGUCUUGGGGAAAUUUCAAACCUGGGUACUCAUUCCUAAGGUAUUUCUUUUUACCCGCUUCUUUUAUAAAGAAUGGUGAUGGUGAUGUUGUUGUUGAUGUUGAUGAUGAUGAUGAUGAUGAUGACGAGGACGACGACGUCGUCGUCGUCGUCGUCACUGCCUGGAAUCUUGAUGUUAGUAGCCUGCGCUUUUAACCACUAUGCCAUAUGCCCACAGGCAUAUGGCAUAGAAUGCGGGCUACUAACCCCAAGAUUCCAAGUUUGAUUCCAGGCAGUAACCUGAAUAAUAAUAAUAACAUAGAAAAAAUCCUUAGGAAUGAGAAACCAGGUUUGAAAUUUCCCCAAGACAACCUGAUGAAGGGCAUAUCAGCUGAGACGUUGCAUUAACAACAAACAAGAUGAGGACAAAUAUCCGUCAAAUGUAAAUAAUGUACAUAAUUUCUCAUCUCUUAAAUAUAGAACUGUAUUAUAAAACCAGUCUAUUUUUCAUUUCAGCUACCAUGGUGACUUAAGCUAGACUCUGCCAGAAACAUCUCCCCAAUUAUUGGCAGAUCCUGAAGAAAACCAACCUGCUGUGUAUUCCUCUUUUGUAGCAACAGUCACCUUUCUAUUUUCACACCUUUUCCUUCUGACACUAUCUCCAGCUCCCACCCCUCAUCAUUUUGGAGUCCUGCCUGGAAGUUCUCUAAGCCAAAGUCCCAGAAACUUUCUUCCUGCCCUUCCCUACACCAUAACAUCAAAUGUAUUUCAUCUUCAACUUCCAUCUCCUCAUCUAAUUUCUUUUAAUGGAUACUGUUGUUAUAAGUGUAUGUGGUAAGUAGGCCCUUACAUACAGUUGGACUCGCAUACCUGAGACCAUAGUCUUUAGUGUUUGUGUGAAGCAAACUGUAUAGGUCAUGCAGGAAUUGAUGUACAGUGUGUAUGUGAGUGUGUGUGUUGGUUGUCUUUUUGUCUUUAUCAGUCACUGGUGAGGUACAUAGUUGUACCUUGGCAAGCAUCCUGAAUUUUAGUGUUGUCUUUCUGGAAGCUAGAGCAGAGUGUAUCUAUGUCUGCAGUUUGUCUGUUCUAUUGUCUCCCUCUCUCUCUCUCUCUUUUUCUUUCUCUUCUUUUCUCAAAAUAUCUCUCUCUCAUUAAUUCUCUAGUUCUAAUCAGCAGUAUCACACACCAUGCCACAUCCAUUACUUCACACCACUUCAUUUUAUGCCACAUUAAUUUCACACACAUCACACCACUGUAGUUUAUUUAUUCCAUCAAUUGAAAAAAGAGAAAAAGAAAUUGAUAUUUACUAAUAUUAUAUUAAGAAUUAAAAUAAAUUUCAAAACAACACCAAAAAAAUCAUCUGUUGCCAUCCAGUUAUUUUUUACCAAUCUUUUCUCAUUUUAGGAUUCAUAGCAUUUUUAAUAUCAUUCCUCACACACACACACACAUGUAGUGACACUCUCACACAUACACACGUGUAAUAACACAAAUGUACACAGAGUAGCACACACACAUGUACAUGCACACACAAAGUAACAUACACACACAUAACUGCACAGAUGCACUUGGCAAAACACAGCCAGCAACACAUUCACAUGCAUGCAUACACAGACCAACACAUUUAUGUGCAUACACACACAUCUGUACAGGCACAAAAAUCAAUACACAUAUAUACAAAUGUACACAUACUCAUGCAAACAAUUAACAAAGAAAUUAAAUAAGAUAAACUUUUUUUAUUUAUUAAAAUUUUUAUU
rnacentral:lncRNA from 1 species